rnacentral:rRNA from 1 species
AAACAUUUCUGGAAGGAAUUAUUUUUAGUAGGCUCUGCUCAAUGCAGUAAAUAGCUGCAGUAUUUUGACUGUACAAAGGUAGCAUAAUCAUUAGUUUUUUAAUUGAAAGCUUGUAUGAAAGAGUUAACGGGAAAUUUAUAUUAUUAUGUGAAUUUAGUUUUUAAGUAAAAAAACUUAAUUAAUUAAAAGGGACGAGAAGACCCUAUAGAAUUUAAUAUAAUGUAAUUUUGUUGGGGUGAUGAAAUAAACUUUCUUUACAUAAAUGAAUUUUGAUCCUGAAGAUUUAAAGAUAAAGUUACCUUAGGGAUAACAGCAUAAUUUUUUUUUGAAGUUCUUAUUUAUAGAAAAGAUUAUGACCUCGAUGUUGAAUUGAUUAUAUUUAGGUGCAGAAUUUAAAUA